rnacentral:rRNA from 1 species
GACGGAGGGGGCUAGCGUUGUUCGGAAUUACUGGGCGUAAAGAGCGCGUAGGCGGUUUAGUAAGUUGGAAGUGAAAGCCCGGGGCUUAACCUCGGAAUUGCUUUCAAAACUGCUAAGCUAGAGUGUAGUAGAGGAUGAUGGAAUUCCUAGUGUAGAGGUGAAAUUCUUAGAUAUUAGGAGGAACACCAGUGGCGAAGGCGGUCAUCUGGGCUAUAACUGACGCUGUGGCGCGAAAGCGUGGGGAGCAAACAGG